AUUUUGUAUUGCGGAAAUGGAAAAAGUUGACCAUAAAUCCUCUUUUAUGCAGUCAAUUUUGGGUUUUUAAGUGUGGAACUUGUUGUCAACGAUACCAGAUCGUUGGAGCUUCAUAUUGUGAAUAACGGGUAUGCAAAAUUUAAUUAUUUUUUCUGAAAAUAUCAGUAUUUGUCGACCCGUAUGAAGGGCGGCCAUAUGACAACUAUGGACAAACCACUGCGAUUUUUCAAUAUUUUGCUGUUAAAUAUAUCAUGUUGUGUGUGGAAUUAAGAUUUUGAUGCAUAUUCAUAUAUAAAUAUAGUUCCACCAAUUCCAAAUAAGACAUUUUGAGCUAGUAUCGCCAUUGCUUCAUGGCAAAAUUGUAAAUGUAAUAAUGUAUUUGUGAAAGACGGCAACAUUGAAAAACAUUUUAGUCACAGUUUAUCAAUUAAUGGCAAAAGUAGUCAAUAUAAAACAUGGAAUGAACCAAAACAAAAAUGAUUCUUACUUCUUAGUAUGUGUAUAUUUAUUUACGUACAACAUAUCAUGUAUUAUUUUAUAGUUCCAUGGAAUCACAUCAUGAUUAAAAUCUAUUAGAAGCUAGAGAACAAUUGCAACUUUAUAUUCGCACGCAAUAUAGUAACGUAAUUGCUAUUGUUUUAUGUAAAUAUAGUUGAUAAUCCAAUGGUAUGAAUAUGCUUCAAACUAUCUUUAAUUGAUGUUAAGAAAUAUUUCUUUCUAUUGAGUCCUGUGAGUACAAGAC